GAGUUUGAUCUUGGCUCAGGAUGAACGCUGGCGGCGUGCCUAAUACAUGCAAGUCGAACGAGAACCUGGAUUCGUCUAGGGGAAAGUGGCGGACGGGUGAGUAACACGUAGAUGACCUGCCUCGAAGAAGGGGACAACCCGCCGAAAGGCGAGCUAAUACCCUAUGAGCUCACGCCCUUUAGAAAAGUGUGAGAAAAGCUCCGACGCUUCGAGAGGGGUCUGCGGGCCAUCAGGUAGUUGGCGGGGUAACAGCCCACCAAGCCAGUGACGGCUAGGGGACCUGAGAGGGUGAUCCCCCACACGGGAACUGAGAAACGGUCCCGACUCCUACGGGAGGCAGCAGUAAGGGAUAUUGCACAAUGGGCGCAAGCCUGAUGCAGCAACGCCGCGUGCAUGAUGAAGGCCUUGGGUCGUAAAAUGCUUUUCUGGCUGAAGAGGCAGGACAGUAAGCCAGGAAUAAGUGUCGGCUAACUACGUGCCAGCCGCCGCCGUAAC
rnacentral:rRNA from 1 species